GACGAACGCUGGCGGCGUGCUUAACACAUGCAAGUCGAACGGAAAGGCCCUGCCUUUGUGGCUUGCUCGGCUGGCGAACGGGUAAGUAACACGUGAGUAACCUGCCCCUGACUUUGGGCUACCUUCAGGAAACUCGGGUACACACCGGGUACGUGCUCCUCCUGCGUGGUGGGGGUUGGAAAGUUUCGGCGGUUGGGGAUGGACUCGCGGCUUAUCAGCUUGUUGGUGGGGUAGUGGCGUACCAAGGCUUUGACGGGUAGCCGGCCUGAGAGGGUGACCGGCCACAUUGGGACUGAGAUACGGCCCAGACUCCUACGGGAGGCAGCAGUGGGGAAUAUUGCACAAUGGGCGGAAGCCUGAUGCAGCAACGCCGCGUGCGGGAUGACGGCCUUCGGGUUGUAAACCGCUUUCGCCUGUGACGAAGCGUGAGUGACGGUAAUGGGUAAAGAAGCACCGGCUAACUACGUG
rnacentral:rRNA from 1 species